rnacentral:lncRNA from 1 species
CACCACCUGCGCCCGCGCACACGGCCGUGCCACCCGUGGGUCACCCAAUGGCACCCAUAGGUCACCAAUGCCACCCAAUGGCACCCAGUGCCACCCAUGGGUCACCAACGCCACCCAAUGCCACCCAGUGCCACCCAUGGGUCACCAAUGCCACCCAAUGCCACCCAAUGGNNNNNNNNNNNNNNNNNNNCCACCUAAUGCCACCCAUGGGUCACCAACGCCACCCAAUGGCACCCAGUGCCACCCAUGGGUCACCAACGCCACCCAAUGGCACCCAUAGGUCACCAACACCACCCAAUGGCACCCAAUGCCACCCGUGGGUCACCAACGCCACCCAAUGGCACCCAGUGCCACCCAUGGGUCACCAAUGCCACCCAAUGGCACCCAGUGCCACCCGUGGGUCACCAACGCCACCCAAUGCCACCCAAUGGCACCCAGUGCCAUCCGUGGGUCACCAAUGCCACCCAAUGCCACCCUGUGCCACCCUGUGCCCACCACGCGUCACCAAUGCCACCCAAUGGCACCCAUGGCUCACCAAUGCCACCCAAUGGCACCCAGUGCAACCUGUGGGUCACCAAUGCCACCCAAUGGCACCCGUGGCUCACCAACGCCUCCCAAUGGCACCCAGUGCCACCCGUGGGUCACCCAAUGCCACCCAAGGGCACCCAGUGCCACACUGUGCCACCCAGUAGCCACCAUGCGUCACCAAUGCCACCCAAUUACACCCAUGAGUCACCAAUGCCACCCAAUGGCACCCAGUGCCACCCGUGGGUCACCAACGCCACCCAAGGGCACCCAGUGCCACCCGUGGGUCACCCAAUGGCACCCAAUGGCACCCAGUGCCACCUGUGGGUCACCAAUGCCACCCAAUGGCACCCAAUGCCACCCAUGGGUCACCCAAUGCCACCCAGUGCCACCCGUGGGUCACCAACGCCACCCAAGGGUCACCAACGCCAC